rnacentral:rRNA from 1 species
CCCUUAGAUGUUCUGGGCCGCACGCGCGCUACACUGAUGCAUUCAACGAGUCUAAAACCUGCUCUGAUAGGGGUGGGUAAUCUUUUGAAUGUGCAUCGUGAUUGGGAUAGAUGAUUGAAAUUUUUCAUCUUCAACGAGGAAUGCCUAGUAAACGCAAGUCAUCAGCUUGCAUUGAUUGCGUCCCUGCCCUUUGUACACACCGCCCGUCGCUCCUACCGAUUGAAUGAUCCGAUGAAUAUCAUGGAUUGAGGAUGCAAGUAGGUUCACCUAUCUUCAUCUUCGAGAAGUGAAGUAAAUCUUAUCAUUUAGAGGAAGGAGAAGUCGUAACA